CAGAGGGGGAGCAGCUACGUGUGAUUCCGCCACACGCCUGGUGAUCUCCUCAGCCCUCUGCUCAGCUCUGGACAGCACCCCCACACCCCCAAAUGACAAGGGAUCUUUUCUUAAGCAAAAAUGGACAUGGAUCUUUAAAAAAACAAAACAGACAGCCUUUUCCCGCCCUAGAAACCAAAUACACAUGGUCCCUGGUGGGCUGGCACCCCCCACUGCAGUCCCAGGCUCCUCCUGGUCUACAGCAGCCUGGAGAGGAGGCAGGUGCCCUCCGCAGGCCUCCAUCUCAGCCCGCGCUCCUGCCACCCUGCGCCCCCUGGCGGCCGAAGUCGAUUUCUGCAGCAUUUUCUUUUACAACACAAACCAAUGAGAAGAACCGCCUCUUUCUAACAGUACGUUGUUGCACACGGCAAUUUAUUUAGUGACAGGGCUAUCGUUUCUAGAGCCCGAAGUGUGCUCUGUGGUUGACUGUGGACUCUUCCGCUGUACAGGAUGGGUAAAAGUAGGUUUACAGUUGUGAGUGCGCAAAACAGAAUUUAUUCUUGUAUUAUUUAUUAAUUAUUGUUUGAUUUAUUCGAAUUACAACUGCAAAUCUACUUUCCCCCGCUCUGUGUGUUCUCACCAUUUAAUGUUGAAUUCUACAGGUUGAUUUUUAAGUCACUGAGUUCAUGCCUCACAAAACACACGAUGGAGGAGCAGAAACGGGUCACGCUCCUUCAUACGCACCAGAAUGGAGAACUGGAACGCGGCUCAGGAAAAAGCCUUUGGUGCCUGGCCGGGCAGCUCAGCUGGUUAGAUCAUCCUCCUGGUGCACCAAGGUUGCGGGUUCGAGCUCAGGGGUUCUUUGAGGCAAACUGAUGACUGCCGGGGAGCAAGAAGGACAGCCAGUGCUCUCUCCUGUAAGCUUCCAAGUCUCCAGUAGGUGUCCCUAGCAAAUUUGCAGAGUCACCUAGCAGACAUUAAAGGCAAAUUACGGCCAAGUUCUUGUCUUGGCUAACUUCUUGCAAUGGGUCACUUUUAAACUACAUCAUCGCAUUUUAAACACACCAUUUCCCUUAAAUAACUCAUUCCUUUUAUUGUGUUUUAAACUUUCAUGACCUGCUUUUUACUGGAAAACAUGGGGAAGUAAACAGGAGGAAAACCCACCACCCAAACACCACUGCUGUUGAUAUUCAGUCAAUGUCCCUAAAAUUGUCUUUCCUCCAAGCCUAACAGAAUGAAAUGUGAGCCAUGGAGUGGGAGGAAAUACUUAUAGUCUGGCAAAGGACCUGCAUCCAGAAGAUACAAAAGACUUCUUCAAGUCAAUAAGAAAAAGACAGAAAGCCCAACUGAAUAACGGCCAAAGACUCCUUACAAACGAGAGUAUUUAAAUGGGAAGGUGGUCAACAUCACUAGUCAUUGGGGAAAUGCAUUAAAACCACCUAAGGCAGUGGUCGGCAAACUCAUUAGUCAACAGAGCCAAAUAUCAACAGGACAACGACUGAAAUUUCUUUUGAGAGCCAAAUUUUUUAAACUUAAACUAUAUAGAUAGGUACAUUGUUAUUAACUUAAUUAGGAAGAGCCACACUCAAGGGGCCAAAGAGCCGCAUGUGGCUCGCGAGCUGCAGUUUGCCGACCAGGGACCUAAGGGUACCACUGCCCCUCCCCCACCCCCCAGAAUAGCUAAGAUUCAAUCAAUAUCAUCUUGGUGAGAAUUUGGAGUCUCUUACAAUGCUGGUGAGAGCGUAAGUUUAUAUCAUUUAGGAAACAUCUGGCAAUAUUUCAUAAAGCUGAAUAUGCUUAUUCUACGACCCUUUUCUAGGUACGUACCCAACAGAAAUGCAUGUACGUAUCCAUCCAAAGACAUGCACAAGACUGUCCACAGCAACACUGUUCACAAUAGACAAAACCUAAACACCAAGCAAAGGCUCAGCUGCAGCGGGGUGAGCAGGUGUGUCACGGUCCACGGAAAAGGAAGGAAACCACGUGGAUUCACCUCCCGUGCGUGAUGGUGAGUGAAAGAAGCAACGCACCACCCAUACUGUGUGCUGCCGCGUACACGAUGCUCAGAACCAAGCCGAACUAAUGGAAUGAGCCACCGAGGUCCCCUUCAGAAAUGUGCUGCUCAGGAAGCGUCUCAGCUGAAGAGAGCUGCCUGGCCCAAGGUGACACCCCUAAUCCCGGGCUAGGUAUUGGAGCCCUCGCCCCAACGCCGGGGAACUCUGAGGGGUCAUGCUAGCGUUCGAGCUCACCGUAGGGAUAGGUGGAGACGGCAGUUCAGCCCAGCUCCAGCCUCUGCCCAAUCACGUUUCUUUACUCCGUCUUCUCCCCUCCCUUCGCCUUCCCUCCUCUUCUCUCCUCUCCCCCAUGGAUGGGUCCCAGCUGCCGGGUAACCCUGGAGUCGGCUUCUGUGGGAACCUCCUCUUCCAAGUGAGAGUAGUCAUGCUUUGGGGGAGGCAGUGAGUGGAAAGGGGCAGAAGUGAACUUUCAGGGGUGCCAGUAUAAUGUUCUAUGUCUUGACGGCAGACACACAAGUGUGUUCACUGUGUAAUAGUUCAUUUUGUUUACUUACUGUUGGUAUGUUCUACUUUAAUGAAAACAUUUACAAUACAGCCUGGCCGGUGUGGCUCAGUUGGUUGAACAUGGUCUUGAACACAAGUCCCAGUCAGGGCACAUGUCCGGGUUGUGGGCUCCAUCCCCAGCAGGGGGCGUGCAGGAGGCGGCCAAUAGAUGAUUCUCUCUCACAUGGAUGUUUCUCUCUCUCCCUCUCCCUCCCUCUCUGAAAUCAAUAAAAACAUAUUUUUAAGAGAAAGACCACUAUUGGCAGUUUAGAUUAAAAAACAACAACACACUAAACUGAAGGUCAUUCUACCAACUGCCUGACUUGCAUCCUGUAAAGUGUUAAGGUCAUGAAGACAAGGAAAGGCUGAAGGCCUGUCAGAGGUUGGCGGGAGCUCAGGAGACAUACGUGUCACAAGGAGGCCUGGAUUAGAUCCUGGAAUGGAAAGACGUGGGCGGGAGACGGGUGAGAUCUAAGUCAGGCCUGUGUGAGGGUUCAGUGAGGUACUGACAGCGAUGCCAACUUCUCGCUUUUGAUCAUUGUACUAUGGCUGCGUAGGACGUUAACAUCAGAGGAAGUUGGGGUGGGGAGCUCUCUGUUCUAUCUUUGUAACGUCUCUCUAAGUAUGAAAUUAUUUCUAAGUAAAAGAUUGGG